rnacentral:rRNA from 1 species
UACAGAGACUGCAAGCGUUAUUCGGAUUCACUGGGCGUAAAGGGUGCGCAGGCGGCCAAGUGUGUCAGGUGUGAAAUCCCGAGCUUAACCUCGGAACUGCGCCUGAAACUACUUGGCUAGAGUACUGGAGAGGGUAACGGAAUUCACGGUGUAGCAGUGAAAUGCGUAGAUAUCGUGAGGAACACCAGAGGCGAAGGCGGUUACCUGGACAGUUACUGACGCUCAGGCACGAAAGCGUGGGGAGCAAACAGG